rnacentral:tRNA from 1 species
GGGUUGUGGCUUAGUGGUAGAAUGCUCGUCUAGCACGUGCGAGGCCCUGGGUUCGAUCCUCAGCCCCA